CUCUCUCGCUCUCUCUCUCUCUCUCUCUCUCUCAACCCUUCAGCUCCUUCAACUCGGUUUAACCUUCUUCAGCUCGGUGAUUCAUCAUUCGGUCGAUCCAAUCUCAGAAUGAUUUUGAUUUCGAAGCUCCACCGCCACCGCCACCGCCACCGCCAUCGCCAUCACCAUCUGCAUCGACAUCGUCUACUAACCAUCUGCACGAUUUCGAGUUCAAUCCAAUCGCAGUUUCGUCGAUUCUUCUCUCCCUCUCUCUCGAUCUCUGUCUCUCUCGCACAAUCUCGUUGUCUGUGUACACAUUAUCUGUACUUUUUUUUGGUUAAUUUUUUUCUUCUGAAAAUCUCUCUAUACAAGUAUGUAUAUGAAUUUAUAUAUGUAUCUCUAUGUAUUGAUUGAAUAAUCAUCCUUAUUUUGUUUUCAGGCUGCCGAAUGAUCCAUUCGUUGAUCGGCAGUGACAGAAAAAAUCAACUCCUGUGAGAAAAGAAGCCCUAACUUUCUCAUUGGAGUCUCAAAGCUUUUAUACAUCAAAUUAGUUCUGGUGUUGAAGAUAGUCUCUCACCAAUUGUCCUUUCUCCUAGUUCUGAUAAAUCCCACAGGACGGCGGUGCAUACUUUUUUCAAGGAGCGUUUGAAAUUCCUUGUUACCGACACAAUAGAUGGGCUAGACAUGUCAUCAAAAUGCAUUCGUGUGUGGUUCGAUGCAGGAGGGAAUAAUGGAACAGGCAGAAACUCAGGAGGGAAUAAUGGCACAAGCAAAAACUCAAAGAAAUGGAAAGAUAGGGGCAGUAAGCGUUACGACAAUAGAGGUUCAGAUAAUUGGCCUGGCCAUCUCGAUAAGUUUCUUAGGCUAUGUAUUACAUAAAUGUAUCAUCAACAGUGAGAAUCAUUUGAUCAAAAAAGGAGAAGCCUGGUUAAGAAGAAAAUGGUGGUAGCAAAUUAUAUUGAGGUAAACAGAAAAUGAGCACAAAACUGGAGUUGAUAGUUCUUUGGCGCCCUCUCUUUCUGAGUUGUCCACAUAUUAUUAUUACUUUGUUAAUGCAAUCAACUUUAUUCUGAAUCUUUUGCUGCAUGCUGCUUAUUUUACACACUUAAAUGUGUCUCACAUGGAGUAUUAUUGAGCCAUAAUCCAUGGAAUAGUAGAAUCUAAAUUACAAUAACAUAAUUAAGCUUAUUUUAAUAAGUUUUCCUUCUCAACAUCUAGAUUGAUUCACAUUUGGCCUGGAUUAAAAGUCUGAAACAAGUUUACUUAUUACCUUUGGAGCGACUUGAGCAUGUAAUAGAGAGGCAGUUGUUAAACCUCUCAACAAUUUUGUCAAUGGUGUGACAUCUAAUAGAAUCAUUCUUUUUCUUUUUCCCCAUGAAAGCUUCUAUAGAUGACUUCCAAUUAUUACGUAUGGUUAUGGGUUUAAGUGGUGUUGGUUACUCUUGGUCACAUCUGAGAAAGCAUCUGCCAUUUCAAGUUCCAUCUUUAUAAGGAGAAUAAGGAUACCCAAGAGGCAUUAGGACUGAUUGGAAAGAUGCUAGGCAUUCAGGUAUAUUUGAUUUAGCUAUGCUGAAGUGAAGCGUCUUAUAUUCUGUUCACUCGCUGACGUGAGAAUAUAUAUAUUUCCCUUUUUUCCCCUUUCUUUUUCAUUCUUUCUUCUCAAUGGGUUGUAAUCUUGUAAUCAUAUUCUGCAACUAGAAAUGAUGCUGGGGUAGUGCUUUUUUUCUUUUUCUUUUCUUUUUUGAAUUAUGUAUUUGUUGUGUGGGAAUAACUUCCAUAUUCCUAGCUGAUGGAAAUUACAAUUAAUCUUUUCUGCUUACAUGUAAAUUCACUUUCAUUUGUUGCGCAUAAAUAAUGAUUAGAUGGUUAUGUGGAGCAUCAUGAUUGGUAAUAAAGCAAUAAUUUAUAUAAAAAGAGACCAUAACCAUAAGAUUCUUUAGGCACAUGUAAUGUAAGUCUGUGAUCAUCAAAUUAAAUAUGUGUUUUGACUAAUAACUAUGUCCCCAUGACUAACAUACAUUGUAAUUUUGUUUCAACUUGUUUAGACCCUUUUGUCUUUGGACAUACAGUUUUUGUACUUAGUCAUCAGUCAUGAUUAUCUUUGCUAUUGCUGCUUGCACUAGGAUUUUCUAUUUCAGUUUUUAGUCUUCUCUGAGUGUGCACCCCUUAUCUUCUACUAAGCCAUGAAUUCUUGGCUUUGGGUUAUCUCUUGUACUAAUCUACAACGUUUAGCAUCUAAACUUUAAUGGCCCUGUUUUUCUCCGAGUUUUAUGGUCUAUCUAUUUCAAAUGGAUUUAUCUAUUUUCUUGCAUAGACUUUGUUACAAAAUAUCUAUUUCAAAUGAAAGUUCUGUAUCUAGAUUGGCUCAGUCUCUUUUGAAGAACUAGUUUAAAAGAGUUAUUCAUGGCUUUGUUCUUCACGAUGUCUGGCUGGGACUUCUGAACAGAAUACUACACUUGUAAGAUAAGAAAUGCCCCUUUCAAGACGAAAAUAGAGGGGAAAAAAUGAUUGAUAGGCCUGGGAGGAUACCUAUGUUGAGGUUCCGAGAUCGUGAAUCAUAUGCUGGGAACAAGACAAAGGAGAACGACUUCUUCAAGCUCGAUACAAAAGGAACAUGGCUGAGUCCUCUUCUACUUCUUUUUGGGUUUCUUUUUUUUUUUGGGGUAUACACUUAGGAUUGUUUUUCAGAACUUGCUCCUAGAAUCAAAUGCCGAAAUAUUGCAAUGUUCAGAGAGGGUUUGGAGGCUCCUUCUUCAGGUUUUAAAUUUAUUGGAGUGAGCACUUUCAUUAAAACUCAGUUUGUUCAUCUUUCACUCUCUUAUUGUUCUUAAUGCUUGAAAUGGUUGGUUUAUUUUUUUAUUUUUUUCUUGUUGCUGGAAUUCUUGUUCCUUCAAUUGAUAUUAGUGCUCAGUGGAAGACUUGGAAGCUACUGCAUAGUUGUAUAUUUCUUAUUGGUUAGAACUGGAAACUACUCCAUAUGGUUCACCCUUGGAUGCCACAAAAAUGUUUUGGCCUGUAACCCCUUCUUGUAAAAGUCACUUUAAAGCAGCAGCGAAGAUGAGAGCCUUGAAUGUUGUAAUUGUUAAAACAGUUUAUAGGGUUCUAUGCAAUUUUUUUUUGUCAAAUCACCUCUUUUAAAUGUUGUUCAUCUCACACUGAUGAGAGUUACUCUUGAAGUUUAAGUAAUUUGACUUUUUCUUGA